rnacentral:misc_RNA from 1 species
GAUGAAGAACGCAGCGAAAUGCGAUACUUGGUGUGAAUUGCAGAAUCCCGUGAACCAUCGAGUCUUUGAACGCAAGUUGCGCCCGAAGCCAUUAGGCCGAGGGCACGCCUGCCUGGGCGUCACACGUCGUUGCCCCCCCCAUCUACUCCUUCGGGAUUGCGGGGGGGGGAUGAUGGCCUCCCGUGCGCCUCGCCGCGCGGUUGGCAUAAAUGCCAAGUCCUCGGCGACGCACGCCACGACAAUCGGUGGUUGCGAAACCUCGGUUGCCCGUCGUGUGCGGUCGUCGCGCAUCGAGGGCUCGAAAAAAUUGCCGAGUUCCGGCUCGGCUUUCAACGCGACCCCAGGUCAGGCGGGGUUACCCGCUGAAUUUAAGCAUAUCAAUAAGCGGAGGA